rnacentral:rRNA from 1 species
GUGCAGCAGGCGAGAAUUUUUCUCAAUGGGGGAAACCCUGAAGGAGCGACGCCGCGUGGAGGAUGAAGGUCUUCGGAUUGUAAACUCCUGUCAUUUGGGAACAAGUUGCAGCGAUUAACUGUCGCUGCAUUGAUAGUACCAGAAGAGGAAGAGACGGCUAACUCUGUGCCAGCAGCCGCGGUAAUACAGAGGUCUCAAGCGUUGUUCGGAUUCAUUGGGCGUAAAGGGUGCGUAGGUGGCGGGGUUAGUCAGGUGUGAAAUCUCGGGGCUCAACCCCGAAACUGCACUUGAUACUGCCUUGCUAGAGUACUGGAGAGGAGAUUGGAAUUUACGGUGUAGCAGUGAAAUGCGUAGAUAUCGUAAGGAAGACCAGUGGCGAAGGCGAAUCUCUGGACAGUUACUGACACUGAGGCACGAAGGCCAGGGGAGCAAACGGGAUUAGAUACCCCUGUAGU